ACUUAUUGCUGACUUUCAAGAGAAAAACGGGGAGCACUGCACUCUCAGUGACAAGAUGAAAGAUUUAGCAGGAAUGUGUAAGAUCCAAAGAGACAAAGUCUCUGAGUGGCCCUUUUUCCCCUGCUCAAUGGCUAGUCAAUGGCUUUCUGAUAUUCUAGAUGGGAAACCUGCACUGGUGAGCAAAUACCACCUGGCAGGGUGAAAAUCUUAUUGAUGCCCUGAUCCAAAGUGUCAGACAGAGGAUAUUCCUGAGUCUGCCCAUGUGAAAUCUGUGCUGGAAGAGUGGAUUCCCU